AAAAAGCUUUGUACAAGUGUCUCGCUGUGUGAGGCAUGAAUCAUGUUGUUGUGGAGACAAUAGCACCAGAUUGUUACGCGGUGUGUUCAUGUGCGUCAUUAAAGGAAACCACAUCUACACCUGCCUAUGAUCUGGCUAAGCUCUCAAAUAUAGCCAGGCACUCAUGCAUCUCCAUUCACAUGCCAUGCAACCAAGCUCAUAAAUACAGCUCUGGCCUAUCUCUCUUAAAGGAGCAUACCCUCAUCCUGUGCAGAGCUUCAUUAAAGGACUACUACCAAUAUUCACCAUUACCUUCAUCAACGACUGCUCUGCUAUCCAAGUUGUGCCUCUCAUUCAGAGUUCUGUGCUGUGUGUGCUACCCUUAUAAAUACUGAAUGCUGGCUCUCUCCUAUCUAAUGUAUGUUCUCUUGUGUGCCUAAUAAACAGCUCAAGUUGGUUCAACGCUCUCUAUUGUGUUCUGACAGACACCCUGGUGUUACAGACGAUCAACAAAAUGCCCUCUGGAAUGUCCUGAGCGGGGAAUUCUCUGAAGUAAAGGAUGAAUUUGUGUUCAUAUUUCAAGUUCAAGAGGAUAUUGAUUUUUUUUGUCAUACUGUGUUAAUGAACAAGGCCUGAAGGUCAAUGA